rnacentral:tRNA from 1 species
GUCGCCGUAGACCAACGGAAGAGUCGGUGGUCUCAGAAGCCACUCAGUGGAGGUUCGAAUCCUCUCGGCGGCACCA